GCGGGCGUGGCGGAACUGGAAGACGCGCAGGGCUUAGGACCCUGUGGGGUCACCCGUGGGGGUUCGACUCCCUCCGCCCGCACCA
rnacentral:tRNA from 1 species